GGAGCAAUAGAUCGGCGGUAGAGUUUUCGCUUCAUAUGCGGAAAGACCUGGGUUCGACUCCCGGCUGCUCCC
rnacentral:tRNA from 1 species